CUUUAUUUGUCUAUGGACAGUGCCCUGUUCAAGUGGAGACUGGCUUUUAUGGAGAUCAUCAAGGAAAGAGAUCUUGGAAAAAUAGAAGAGCAGGCUACCAGGAUCUAGAUUGUUCAUCUAGCCCAGUGUCAGCUGGAGCACGACCAAAAACUGAUUGGAAUUGCUGCAGAAGAGCAUUCCAACAGGAGAGAGCAAAAACUUCCUUUAUUAUCUUAUCACCGGCGCAUAGCUCCUACCAUAAGAGCUGAAUAAAAUAUUUUUACA
rnacentral:lncRNA from 1 species